CUCUGCUAUAUAGAAUUGUAGGACCAGAUUUUCAUCAUGAAAACUCUCUAAGAGUCUUGCUGUAUCACCCAAACUUAAAGUGCAGUGGUACAAUCUCGGCUCACUGCAACCUCCAGCUCCUGGGUUCCAGCGAUUCUCCUGCCUCAGCCUCUCAGGACAAGGUGACAACGGGUCUCCCUAUAUAGGCAGUCAAAGCAAUUUGAGGAAAACACAUUGUAGCAAGAUGAUGAUGUUUUCCGUGAAAACAAUAAAGUGACUAAGAUCCG